rnacentral:rRNA from 1 species
AACGAACGCUGGCGGCAUGCCUAACACAUGCAAGUCGAACGAGACCUUCGGGUCUAUUGGCGCACGGGUGCGUAACGCGUGGGAACCUGCCCUUAGGUUCGGAAUAACUCCCCGAAAGGGGUGCUAAUACCGGAUAAUGUCUUCGGACCAAAGAGUUAUCGCCUUUGGAUGGGCCCGCGUUGGAUUAGCUAGUUGGUAGGGUAAAAGCCUACCAAGGCGACGAUCUAUAGCUGGUCUGUGAGGAUGAUCAGCCACACUGGGACUGAGACUCGGCCCAGACUGCUACGGGACGCAGCAGUGGGGGAUACUGGACUUCGGGCGGAGUCCUUAUCCAGCAAUGCCGCGUUAAUGAUUAAGGUCGUAGAGUGGUAAAGCGCUCUUACCCGGCAUGAUAUUGACAGUACCGGAAGAAUAAGCCCCGGCUAACUCCGUG